rnacentral:pre_miRNA from 1 species
AGUGGUAUAUCUGGGUCAAAUGGUGGUUCCGUUCCAAGCUUUUUAAGGAAUCUCCAUACUUCUUCCCAGAUUGGUUGCACCAAUUUGUAGUCCCACCAGCAAU